UACGUAGGGGGCAAGCGUUGUCCGGACUUACUGGGCGUAAAGAGCGCGCAGGCGGUCGUUCAAGUCGCGUGUGAAAGCCCCCCGGCUCAACUGGGGAGGGUCACGCGAUACUGAUCGACUCGAAGGCAGGAGAGGGUAGUGGAAUUCCCGGUGUAGUGGUGAAAUGCGUAGAUAUCGGGAGGAACACCAGUGGCGAAGGCGACUACCUGGCCUGUUCUUGACGCUGAGGCGCGAAAGCUAGGGGAGCAAACGGGG
rnacentral:rRNA from 1 species